CUAUGUAGUUCAGUGGUAGAACACAUACCUCAUAUGCAUGAGAUGCUGCUUCAAUCCCCAGCACCAUAAA
rnacentral:tRNA from 1 species